rnacentral:rRNA from 1 species
UACGUAGGGACCGAGCGUUGUCCGGAUUCAUUGGGCGUAAAGGGUGCGUAGGUGGCGCCGUAAGUCAGGUGUGAAAUUUCGGAGCUUAACUCCGAAACUGCAUUUGAUACUGCGGUGCUUGAGGACUGGAGAGGAGACUGGAAUUUACGGUGUAGCAGUGAAAUGCGUAGAGAUCGUAAGGAAGACCAGUGGCGAAGGCGGGUCUCUGGACAGUUCCUGACACUGAGGCACGAAGGCCAGGGAGCAAACGGG